rnacentral:tRNA from 1 species
GCCAAUGUAGCUCAGUCGGUAGAGCAGCUCAUUCGUAAUGAGCAGGUCAUCGGUUCGAACCCGAUCAUUGGCUCCA